UACAAUAACGCUGAUUUCGUUCUAUUCGGUUCUGUGCAUAUCUACCAGUUUCUAUGCGUAGCUUGUGGGAUGAUAACCUUAAUCUGGACAGUGAAUUCCGAAGUGUGCUAGGCAACACAUUCAGCAUAUCAAAGUGUUUUUGAAGUUCUGAAGGUGUUCUACCUAAUAUAACCAUAUCAUCAGCAAAAAGCAUCAAAAUGAAGGUGAAUGACCCAGACUGAUCACAAUGCAGACGACCGUUAGCGACUCUCAUUGACGUGGAUUUACAAAGGUCAAGGAGUUUGAGACCAUGUGCAUUUGUAUUCUUAUCCAUAGAGGCCCUCGGUAAGGGGAAAUCAGUUUGUCCCUGCACAGGCCAUGAACGUUCCAGGAG